UCAUCAGAGUGAGAGGUCUUCACGCUGUGUAUCUCUGGGAUUGUGAAAAAAUAUAGAGUGAGAGCUCUCACCAGAGUUAGAAGAUCUUGGACGUCUUUGUUGAAGGGAGAAGUUAACAGUUUCUCGGUAUUUCCAAACUUUUCUUAGACUCAUUAUUCUUCUCCUAGUGCUUGUGCUUGUGGAAUUCUAUGUCUUUUUACAAUAUAAUAAGGAAUGAUAAGGAUAAACUCCAUUUGAAAAGAAAAGAAAGCCUUGUGUGGAGCAUCAACCCUUUUAUUUGUUCGCUGGCUGUCUAGUGUCACGAAAGUAGGCGUGUAUCGAGGACAGCACAGUAAAAAGACAUUGACACGGCGGGUUCAAGCUGGGUGGAGAGACGUUGGCACGGCGGGUUCAAGCUAGCAGAGAGACGUUGAAACGGCAGUUUCGAGCUAGUAAAGGGACGUUGGCACGGCAGUUUCUAGCUAGUAAAGGGACGUUGGCACGGCAGGUUCAAGCGAAGUGAAAGGACAUUGACGCGGCGGGUUCGGGCUAGAAGAAGCGGACAUGAGUCUACGCUCAGGGAAAAGCUAUCUCCGCGAUUACAGUGCUGAACGGGGAGGUGAAGCAGGUGGGGAGGCGGAGGUUGCAGACCGACGGGCCGCGAUGCAGCAACCGUCACAACUGUUUGACACCAGGUCACAUACAUCUAGAGCAUCGAGGAGCUCUCAACGGUCGUCAUCAACGACUUCUUCAGCCACAAAAGCUUAUGCCAAGGCAAAAGCUGCCAAAGCUCAACUAGCCUUUGUUGAAAAAGAAGCUGACAUGAUGAGGCAGAAA